AAGUAACGCUUAAUACAAAACUGUCAAGUUGCUUAGGCGUUCUCUAGAAUUAUAUAGAACGCCCAAGAUUGAUGAACGUUGUAUAUGUAAAAUCAUAUAGAACGCCUAUCCUACCUAACAACUCUAUUUGAUUAUAUUACUUUUAUAAAUAAAACGUGACUUAAUAAUAGAACGCCUUGUAUGGUUAACUGUUCUAUAUGAGUAAAAAAAACCUCCGCCUUUUAUAUUAAAUGAUUAAAAUUUAUUUGACAAUUAUUAUAAAAAUAAAAAAUAAAAAAAUGAACAACUAAACCCUACCCACCUCCUCUCUGUCAGUUACACACUUACACGCCUCUUGUUCUUCCAUUCCUCUAUUUCUUUCACCGAUUCAUCUUGUAAAAUGAAAAUAAAGUAAAAUUUAUCACCGAUUCAUCUACCUCAACAUCUUUCUAAAGAGCAACCAUUCUAUCAGAUCUUCCACCGUUGUCCGUUGCCGCUUAUCGUGACCACAAUUCUUACUGUUCAUCGUUCACAAACCCCGGAUAUACCUGGGAAGAAAUGAAGAUUAGCUAUUUGUUUAAAUUUAUCUCUUGUUUCUCCAUUACUAUGUACUUCGUAUAAUUUACUUGAAUUGUACUUUAUACAAUAUUAUGUAAGGUUGAUUUUUUAAUUUUAAAUUGACUACUAUAUGAAUUGUAUAUUACUCGUAA